GCCCCGAUGGUGAAAUUGGUAGACACAAGGGACUUAAAAUCCCUCGCCUAACGGUGUGCCGGUUCGACCCCGGCUCGGGGCACCA
rnacentral:tRNA from 1 species